rnacentral:rRNA from 2 species
AACACNNCGUGAGUGAAGNANGGNUUCGGCUCGUAAAGCUCUGUNNUUAAAGAAGAACACGUAUGAGAGUAACUGUUCAUACGUUGACGGUAUUUAACCAGAAAGUCACGGCUAACUACGUGCCAGCAGCCGCGGUAAUACGUAGGUGGCAAGCGUUAUCCGGAUUUAUUGGGCGUAAAGAGAGUGCAGGCGGUUUUCUAAGUCUGAUGUGAAAGCNUUCGGCUUAACCGGAGAAGUGCAUCGGAAACUGGAUAACUUGAGUGCAGAAGAGGGUAGUGGAACUCCAUGUGUAGCGGUGGAAUGCGUAGAUAUAUGGAAGAACACCAGUGGCGAAGGCGGCUACCUGGUCUGCAACUGACGCUGAGACUCGAAAGCAUGGGUAGCGAACAGGAUUAGAUACCCUGGUAGUCCAUGCCGUAAACGAUGAGUGCUAGGUGUUGGAGGGUUUCCGCCCUUCAGUGCCGGAGCUAACGCAUUAAGCACUCCGCCUGGGGAGUACGACCGCAAGGUUGAAACUCAAAGGANNUNNNGGGGGCCCGCACAAGCGGUGGAGCAUGUGGUUUAAUUCGAAGCUACGCGAAGAACCUUACCAGGUCUUGACAUCUUGCGCCAACCCUAGAGAUAGGGCGUUUCCUUCGGGAACGCAAUGACAGGUGGUGCAUGGUCGUCGUCAGCUCGUGUCGUGAGAUGUUGGGUUAAGUCCCGCAACGAGCGCAACCCUUGUUACUAGUUGCCAGCAUUAAGUUGGGCACUCUAGUGAGACUGCCGGUGACAAACCGGAGGAAGGUGGGGACGACGUCAGAUCAUCAUGCCCCUUAUGACCUGGGCUACACACGUGCUACAAUGGACGGUACAACGAGUCGCGAACUCGCGAGGGCAAGCAAAUCUCUUAAAACCGUUCUCAGUUCGGACUGCAGGCUGCAACUCGCCUGCACGAAGUCGGAAUCGCUAGUAAUCGCGGAUCAGCA